rnacentral:rRNA from 1 species
UACGUAGGGGGCAAGCGUUGUCCGGAAUCAUUGGGCGUAAAGCGCUUGUAGGCGGCCAGAAAAGUCCGCUGUGAAAACUCGAGGCUCAACUUCGAGCUGUCGGUGGAAACUUUCUGGCUAGAGUCCGGAAGAGGAGAAUGGAAUUCCUGGUGUAGCGGUGAAAUGCGCAGAUAUCAGGAAGAACACCCGUGGCGAAGGCGGUUCUCUGGGACGGUACUGACGCUGAGACGCGAAAGCGUGGGGAGCGAACAGG